rnacentral:hammerhead_ribozyme from 1 species
AUCCAACCGAUGAGUUCAACAUAGGACGAAACGCGAGUCUUGGAU